UACGAAAAAAGAGUAUUCGUACUCUUAAACCCUUUGUGAACCUUACCUAUCGUCAGUUGCUUCGGCGGGAGGCCCCUGGGAGGGGCCCCGGGGCCCGGCCUGAGCCGGGCUCCCGCCGGAGGAGCGCAAACCUAAACUCUUGCUGUACCUCAGUGGAACGUCCGAGUUAAAAACAAAAAAAACAAGUUAAAACUUUCAACAACGGAUCUCUUGGUUCUGGCAUCGAUGAAGAACGCAGCGAAAUGCGAUAAGUAAUGUGAAUUGCAGAAUUCAGUGAAUCAUCGAAUCUUUGAACGCACAUUGCGCCCGCCAGUAUUCUGGCGGGCAUGCCUGUUCGAGCGUCAUUUCAACCACUCAGGCCCUGGUGCCUGGCGUCGGGGCGUUUCCGCGAGAGGAAAGCCCCCAGAGACAGUGGCGGACCCGCCGCGGCUCCGAGCGCAGUAGUAAGAUAUCUCGCUCAGGAGGCCCGCGGGGGGAUUUUCCCGGCCGUAAAAACCCCUCUCCCCCGGAGAGGAUCUUCUCAAGGUUGACCUCGGAUCAGGUAGGAAUACCCGCUGAACUUAAGCAUAUCAAUAAGCGGAGGAAAAGAAACCAACAGGGAUUGCCCCAGUAACGGCGAGUGAAGCGGCAACAGCUCAGAUUUGAAAU
rnacentral:rRNA from 1 species